rnacentral:rRNA from 1 species
AGCGAACGCUGGCGGCAGGCCUAACACAUGCAAGUCGAACGGAUCCUUCGGGAUUAGUGGCGGACGGGUGAGUAACACGUGGGAACGUGCCCUUUGGUUCGGAACAACUCAGGGAAACUUGAGCUAAUACCGGAUGUGCCCUUCGGGGGAAAGAUUUAUCGCCAUUGGAGCGGCCCGCGUCUGAUUAGCUAGUUGGUGAGGUAACGGCCCACCAAGGCGACGAUCAGUAGCUGGUCUGAGAGGAUGAUCAGCCACACUGGGACUGAGACACGGCCCAGACUCCUACGGGAGGCAGCAGUGGGGAAUCUUGCGCAAUGGGCGAAAGCCUGACGCAGCCAUGCCGCGUGAAUGAUGAAGGUCUUAGGAUUGUAAAAUUCUUUCAGCAGGGACGAUAAUGACGGUACCCGCAGAAGAAGCUCCGGCUAACUUCGUG